GUGAGGAAUAUUGCCCAAUGGACGAAAGUCUGAGGCAGCGACGCCGCGUGGGUGAUGAAGGCCUUCGGGUCGUAAAGCCCUUUUCUGUGUGACGAGACAGGACGGUAGCACAGGAAAAAGUCUCGGCUAACUACGUGCCAGCAGCCGCGGUAAAACGUAGGAGGCAAGCGUUAUCCGGAGUUACUGGGCGUAAAGCGUGCGCAGGCGGUUGAUUAAGACAGGCGUGAAAUCCCCGGGCUUAACCUGGGAACUGCGCUUGUGACUGGUCGGCUAGAGUACGGCAGAGGGGGGUGGAAUUCCACGUGUAGCAGUGAAAUGCGUAGAGAUGUGGAGGAACACCGAUGGCGAAGGCAGCCCCCUGGGCCGAUACUGACGCUCAUGCACGAAAGCGUGGGUAGCAAACAGGAUUAGAAACCCUAGUAGUCC
rnacentral:rRNA from 1 species